GUUUGGGUUCAUACCACCCUGAACCCACCCAAUAUUGGAAAGUAAGCAGGGUCAGGAUUGGUCAUACUUGGACAGGAGACUGGGAAUACCAGGUGCUGUAAGCU
rnacentral:rRNA from 1 species